AGAAUGAUUUUUUUUUUUAUAAAGUUGAAGUGUGUUUACUUUUAUUACAUCGUUACAAUCUCAAGGAAGAAGAAGAUAGUUCGUAAGACAUUUCCUGCAAAUCCUCCGUAGAUUCCAACCUUUUUCUGUUCUCUAUAAAUUACCUUUCACCUUCUCCCCAUCUUCUCCUAACCAGCUUCAAUCAACCGGUACAGAUCUUCAUUUUUCGAAGGUUUGUAGACUGUUGGCAAGGAUCUUAUUAGUUGUUUCUGAAAGUUAAAAGAUUGAGAAAUGGCGAUGAAGCAGUGAUUAACCUUUGUAUUGCUUCAAAUACACACCUUCCUCAAUAUGGAACAUGUGCAAAAUCAGCACGUUAUGGAUCAAGACAAAGACAAUAGGAUAGACAAUGAUAUCAUGACCCGACGACUGAAGAAUCGAGAAAGGCAACGAAGAUAUAGAGCUCGGAAACGUCUAGAAGAAGAAAUAAAGAAAGCUUCAACUGCGAAACAACCAAUUCAGACAGGAACAUAUUUUCAACCAAAUGGCAUUGCAAACAAUCCCUUGACUCGGGUGCAUUGUAGCCGAAAUUGGAAGAAGGAAGCAAGAAGUGCUAAUAUAUCUAGAGGGGUAGAAGAAGGGUCUUGUAAUAGUUCCAAUAUGGCUGCAAAAACAUCAACCAGUGAGAGUCAACUGCAGUGUGUACCUUCUAACGUCGAUCCACAAUUAGAAACGCCUUCACACUCCAAGACACCUGCUGAACAACUCGUCUCUGAAACAGCAAAAAAGGUGUUUGGUCGAAGAAAUUGGAAAGCAGAUGCGAGAAA